GCAAGUCGAACGAAGCGAUUUGGAAGAAGUUUUCGGAUGGAAUCCAAAUUGACUGAGUGGCGGACGGGUGAGUAACGCGUAGUAACCUGCUCACACUGGGGGACAACAGCUGGAAACGGCUGCUAAUACCGCAUAAGCGCACAGCUUCGCAUGAAGCAGUGUGAAAAACUCCGGUGGUGUGAGAUGGACCCGCGUCUGAUUAGCUAGUUGGUAAGGUAACGGCUUACCAAGGCGACGAUCAGUAGCCGACCUGAGAGGGUGACCGGCCACAUUGGGACUGAGACACGGCCCAAACUCCUACGGGAGGCAGCAGUGGGGAAUAUUGCACAAUGGGGGAAACCCUGAUGCAGCGACGCCGCGUGAGUGAAGAAGUAUUUCGGUAUGUAAAGCUCUAUCAGCAGGGAAGAAAAUGACGGUACCUGACUAAGAAGCCCCGGCUAACUACGUGCCAGCAGCCGCGGUAAUACGUAGGGGGCAAGCGUUAUCCGGAUUUACUGGGUGUAAAGGGAGCGUAGACGGCGAAGCAAGUCUGAAGUGAAGGCCCGGGGCUCAACCGCGGGACUGCUUUGGAAACUGUUUUGCUAGAGUGCUGGAGAGGUAAGUGGAAUUCCUAGUGUAGCGGUGAAAUGCGUAGAUAUUAGGAGGAACACCA
rnacentral:rRNA from 1 species